AGAUAACAAAAAAGGUCUUUUAACAAUAAGUUAUUAAGGAUUCAAAUUGUUCAGGUAUUAGAGAAUUGAAUUAUAGCAGAUGUCAGAUCCUUUAGAUAAUGUACUGGACUUACCUUAAAAGUUGAUGCCAUAAGUAGAUCUUGAAGCUUAGGGACUAUGUCGUAUGAUACAAUGUUGAACACACCAUCAAGAUGAACGGACUUCUUAGU
rnacentral:lncRNA from 1 species